rnacentral:rRNA from 1 species
UUAUAAGAGACAGCAGUCGCCGCGGGAAAACGUAGGGUGCGAGCGUUAAUCGGAAUUACUGGGCGUAAAGCGUGCGCAGGCGGUUCGUUAAGACAGAUGUGAAAUCCCCGGGCUUAACCUGGGAACUGCAUUUGUGACUGGCGAGCUAGAGUAUGGCAGAGGGGGGUAGAAUUCCACGUGUAGCAGUGAAAUGCGUAGAGAUGUGGAGGAAUACCGAUGGCGAAGGCAGCCCCCUGGGCCAAUACUGACGCUCAUGCACGAAAGCGUGGGGAGCAAACAGGAUUAGAUACCCCUGUAGUCCCUGUCUCUUAUAU